GAUGAACGCUGGCGGCGUGCCUAAUACAUGCAAGUCGAGCGAACAGAUGAGGAGCUUGCUCCUCUGACGUUAGCGGCGGACGGGUGAGUAACACGUGGAUAACCUACCUAUAAGACUGGGAUAACUUCGGGAAACCGGAGCUAAUACCGGAUAAUAUAUUGAACCGCAUGGUUCAAUAGUGAAAGACGGUUUUGCUGUCACUUAUAGAUGGAUCCGCGCCGCAUUAGCUAGUUGGUAAGGUAACGGCUUACCAAGGCAACGAUGCGUAGCCGACCUGAGAGGGGGAUCGGCAAACCGGGAACUGAGACACGGUCCAGACUCCUACGGGAGGCAGCAGUAGGGAAUCUUCCGCAAAGGGCGAAAGCUUGACGGAGCAACGCCGCGUGAGGGAUGAAGGUCUUCGGAUCGUAAAACUCUGUUAUUAGGGAAGAACAAAUGUGUAAGUAACUAUGCACGUCUUGACGGUACCUAAUCAGAAAGCCACGGCUAACUACGUG
rnacentral:rRNA from 1 species